AUUGAACGCUGGCGGCAGGCCUAACACAUGCAAGUCGAACGGUAACAGGAAGCAGCUUGCUGCUUCGCUGACGAGUGGCGGACGGGUGAGUAAUGUCUGGGAAGCUGCCUGAUGGAGGGGGAUAACUACUGGAAACGGUAGCUAAUACCGCAUAAUGUCGCAAGACCAAAGAGGGGGACCUUCGGGCCUCUUGCCAUCGGAUGUGCCCAGAUGGGAUUAGCUUGUUGGUGGGGUAACGGCUCACCAAGGCGACGAUCCCUAGCUGGUCUGAGAGGAUGACCAGCAACACUGGGACUGAGACACGCUCCAGACUCCUACGGGAGGCAGCAGUGGGGAAUAUUGCACAAUGGGCGCAAGCCUGAUGCAGCCAUGCCGCGUGUAUGAAGAAGGCCUUCGGGUUGUAAAGUACUUUCAGCGGGGAGGAAGGGAGUAAAGUUAAUACCUUGGCUCAUUGACGUUACCCGCAGAAGAAGCACCGGCUAACUCCGUG
rnacentral:rRNA from 1 species